UGUGACCUCAAAUCAGGUAGGACUACCCGCUGAACUUAAGCAUAUCAAUAAGCGGAGGAAAAGAAACUAACAAGGAUUCCCCUAGUAACUGCGAGUGAAGCGGGAAAAGCUCAAAUUUAAAAUCUGGCAGUCUUUGGCUGUCCGAGUUGUAAUCUAGAGAAGUGUUAUCCGCGCUGGACCGUGUACAAGUCUCCUGGAAUGGAGCGUCAUAGAGGGUGAGAAUCCCGUCUUUGACACGGACUACCAGGGCUUUGUGAUGCGCUCUCAAAGAGUCGAGUUGUUUGGGAAUGCAGCUCAAAAUGGGUGGUAAAUUCCAUCUAAAGCUAAAUAUUGGCGAGAGACCGAUAGCGAACAAGUACCGUGAGGGAAAGAUGAAAAGAACUUUGGAAAGAGAGUUAAACAGUACGUGAAAUUGCUGAAAGGGAAACGCUUGAAGUCAGUCGCGUCGUCCAGGGAUCAACCUUGCUUUUGCUUGGUGCACUUUCUGGUUGACGGGUCAGCAUCAAUUUUGACCAUUGGAAAAAGAUUAAGGGAAUGUGACAUCUU
rnacentral:rRNA from 1 species